CCCUUAGAUGUCCUGGGCUGCACGCGCGCUACACUGAUGUGUCCAGUAAGCACCUAACCUCUUCCGAAAGGAACGGGUAACCUUUGCAAAGCACAUCGUGAUGGGGAUAGAUUAUUGCAAUUAUUAGUCUUGAACGAGGAAUUCCUAGUAAGCAUAAGUCAUCAGCUUGUGUUGAUUACGUCCCUGCCCUUUGUACACACCGCCCGUCGCUCCUACCGAUUGAAUGUUCCGGUGAGCUCUUCGGACUGCGCGGUCUGCAGUUUCUGCGUUCCGUGCGGAAAGUUGCGCAAACCUUAACAUUUAGAGGAAGGAGAAGUCGUAACA
rnacentral:rRNA from 1 species